rnacentral:rRNA from 1 species
AACGAACGCUGGCGGCAUGCCUAACACAUGCAAGUCGAACGAUUGCCUUCGGGUGAUAGUGGCGCACGGGUGCGUAACGCGUGGGAAUCUGCCCUUAGGUUCGGAAUAACAGCUGGAAACGGCUGCUAAUACCGGAUGAUAUCGCGAGAUCAAAGAUUUAUCGCCUGAGGAUGAGCCCGCGUUGGAUUAGGUAGUUGGUGGGGUAAAGGCCUACCAAGCCGACGAUCCAUAGCUGGUCUGAGAGGAUGAUCAGCCACACUGGGACUGAGACACGGCCCAGACUCCUACGGGAGGCAGCAUGGGGGAAUUUUGGAAAAGGGGCGCAAGCCUGACCCAGCAAUGCCGGGGGAGUGAUGAAGGCCCUAGGGUUGUAAAGCUUUUUUACCCGGGAAGAAAAUGACUGUACCGGGAGAAUAAGCCCCGGCUAACCCCG